UACAGAGGGUGCGAGCGUUAAUCGGAAUUACUGGGCGUAAAGGGCGCGUAGGCGGUUAUUGACGUGCGAUGUGAAAGCCCUGGGCUUAACCUAGGAAGUGCAUCGCAAACGAAAUGACUGGAGUAUAAGAGAGGGUGGCGGAAUUUCCGGUGUAGCGGUGAAAUGCGUAGAGAUCGGAAGGAACGUCAAUGGCGAAGGCAGCCACCUGGCUUAAUACUGACGCUGAGGCGCGAAAGCGUGGGGAUCAAAC
rnacentral:rRNA from 1 species